rnacentral:rRNA from 1 species
CGGCGGGUGCUAAUACAUGCAAGUCGAGCGGACAGAAGGGAGCUUGCUCCCGGAUGUUAGCGGCGGACGGGUGAGUAACACGUGGGUAACCUGCCUGUAAGACUGGGAUAACUCCGGGAAACCGGAGCUAAUACCGGAUAGUUCCUUGAACCGCAUGGUUCAAGGAUGAAAGACGGUUUCGGCUGUCACUUACAGAUGGACCCGCGGCGCAUUAGCUAGUUGGUGAGGUAACGGCUCACCAAGGCGACGAUGCGUAGCCGACCUGAGAGGGUGAUCGGCCACACUGGGACUGAGACACGGCCCAGACUCCUACGGGAGGCAGCAGUAGGGAAUCUUCCGCAAUGGACGAAAGUCUGACGGAGCAACGCCGCGUGAGUGAUGAAGGUUUUCGGAUCGUAAAGCUCUGUUGUUAGGGAAGAACAAGUGCAAGAGUAACUGCUUGCACCUUGACGGUACCUAACCAGAAAGCCACGGCUAACUACGUGCCAGCAGCCGCGGUAAUACGUAGGUGGCAAGCGUUGUCCGGAAUUAUUGGGCGUAAAGGGCUCGCAGGCGGUUUCUUAAGUCUGAUGUGAAAGCCCCCGGCUCAACCGGGGAGGGUCAUUGGAAACUGGGAAACUUGAGUGCAGAAGAGGAGAGUGGAAUUCCACGUGUAGCGGUGAAAUGCGUAGAGAUGUGGAGGAACACCAGUGGCGAAGGCGACUCUCUGGUCUGUAACUGACGCUGAGGAGCGAAAGCGUGGGGAGCGAACAGGAUUAGAUAC